GGCCUACGGGAGGCAGCAGCUAAGAAUCUUCCGCAAUGGACGAAAGUCUGACGGAGCGACGCCGCGUGGGUGAUGAAGGCCGAGAGGUUGUAAAGCCCUUUUCUGCGUGAGGAAUAAGGCGAGGAGGCAAUGCCUUGCUGAUGACGGUAGCGCAGGAAUAAGCCCCGGCCAAUUACGUGCCAGCAGCCGCGGUAAUA
rnacentral:rRNA from 1 species